rnacentral:rRNA from 1 species
AGUGAACGCUGGCGGUAGGCCUAACACAUGCAAGUCGAACGGCAGCACAGUAAGAGCUUGCUCUUACGGGUGGCGAGUGGCGGACGGGUGGGGAAUACAUCGGAAUCUACUUUUUCGUGGGGGUUAACGUAGGGAAACUUACGCUAAUACCGCAUACGACCUACGGGUGAAAGCAGGGGAUCUUCGGACCUUGCGCGAUUGAAUGAGCCGAUGUCGGAUUAGCUAGUUGGCGGGGUAAAGGCCCACCAAGGCGACGAUCCGUAGCUGGUCUGAGAGGAUGAUCAGCCACACUGGAACUGAGACACGGUCCAGACUCCUACGGGAGGCAGCAGUGGGGAAUAUUGGACAAUGGGCGCAAGCCUGAUCCAGCCAUACCGCGUGGGUGAAGAAGGCCUUCGGGUUGUAAAGCCCUUUUGUUGGGAAAGAAAAGCAGCAGGUUAAUACCCCGCUGUUCUGACGGUACCCAAAGAAUAAGCACCGGCUAACUUCGUG